GUUGAUGACACAGAAGUGAUUAGUUUCCUUCUUUCUACUGAGAUUAUUCCGCUAUGUCUGCGAACUAUGGAGAUGGGAAGUGAAUUAUC
rnacentral:sRNA from 1 species